UGUAUACAACAGCCACAUUGUCUGCAGUA
rnacentral:piRNA from 1 species